UGCAAGUGAUGUUUCUCACGAUGGUCUUCCAAACCUUGUGGUUGUGAAGACACUGCCUAAUGGUAACAACUGAUGCAGUCCA
ensembl:snoRNA